AACGGUGCAGUAUCCUAGUCAAAGCGGCUGUUUUCCAGGAAGGGCCUAAAAAUCCUUUGAAGGGCACAGCGAUGAAGUCCCUGGUGUCUGCUUUUUACGCCCAGUUUAGGGUGGAUGCUGGGGGUUAAGGAUUCAGGGCGCGCUCCAACGGCAUGGAGCAUACGACCCGGUUUCCGUGGAGACUUGGUAUUGUGCGACGGCGGAGAGAACCCGGAAGGGCCUGCCCGCGCACGAGCCAGGAAAUGAACCUGCAAGGCAGUGCGCAGAGUCGCGUUGCUGCGUGCAGAGUAGCCUGCCUUGAGUGAACAUGCGGGAAAAGGGGACCAGGCGGCUGGCUGUCAUGGCCAUGGCAGCUGCCGUUAUCGCUCCUGGAAACCAUGUUUGCAAAAGAGGCUAAGAUCAUAGUCCGCUUUGUCGUGGAAAACACCUAGGCUGUCGUAGCUGGGCAGGCAGGGGAUUGCAGUACGGUCUAAGUGGCAAUCGGGUACCCGGACUGGCAACUUCCGGGCUCAGGAAUGAAAUGGAAACGGCCUGCGCGGCAACGGCAGGUUUCCUUUGGGGAAAGCCAACCCGACCUAAGCCGUAAGAUUUAUCCUGCCUGCCGCCGUUUUAUACAGU
rnacentral:sRNA from 1 species